rnacentral:rRNA from 1 species
UACGAAGGGGGCUAGCGUUGCUCGGAAUCACUGGGCGUAAAGCGCACGUAGGCGGAUUGUUAAGUCAGGGGUGAAAUCCUGGAGCUCAACUCCAGAACUGCCUUUGAUACUGGCGAUCUCGAGUCCGGGAGAGUGAGUGGAACUGCGAGUGUAGAGGUGAAAUUCGUAGAUAUUCGCAAGAACACCAGUGGCGAAGGCGGGUCUCUGGACAGUUCCUGACGCUGAGGCACGGAAGGCCAGGGGAGCAAACGGG